UUUUUUUUCUUCUCUUUCUUUCUCCUUUCUCUAUUCUCUUUCUCUCUUUUUCUUUUCUUUUUUCGGCACAACCCUCUCCUUCUUCUUCUUCUUCUCCUUUCCUUUCUUCUCUUUCGUGCAGCUUAAGUGAAAGUGAAUUUAGAGACCAUUAUAAGUUCCCCAAAAGGCGGGAAAACAUGUCACAAGUGUCGCCUGUGGCAGACCCUCGACUAAAGUCCUGUCACUUCCGUCAGCUUUUUUUUAUUGUUUGUACCAUUUUAGUACAUAAUAAAAUGGUUCUAUUAUUUUAAUAUUAUUUUAAUUUUUUUUUGUAUUAUUUAUAAAAAAAAACCCUCCAAAUGACAAGACGUUCAUGAGCUAGAUCAGUGAGCUGUUUGACAAAGGAGAGCAACGUGUACAGAUUGUCAUUUUAUCAAGAUGGGUCAUCUGGAAUUCUAGAAACGGAAUAAUACAUGAAAGAUAUGAUCAGCCAAUUCAAUCACUACUUACCUUUAUAUUGGGAUAUGCCUGGGAACUGCAAUCCUUAUCGACGGAAGGUGGGGGUUGUAGGGCGCCUAUUUUGGAAGUUUGGAGACCGCCAGUGGAACCAUGGGUUCGGGUGAACUUUGAUGCGGGUUUCUAUGGUGAUCUAUAAGCAUCGAGCAUAGGGAUCGCUGUUAGAAAUCAUAUGGGUUUACUGUUGGGCGCAGUUUAUUUCUGGAGAGAGCACAUACCUUCGAUAGUGGCUGUAGAGGCUUUGUCUGGCUCGUAGGCUAUCCAAUUUGCUCGGGAUCUAGGAUUUCGUUCUGUGGAGAUUGAGGGCGACUCCGCCGUAGUGAUUGCAAAAUUAAAUAGUUCGGGGAUUGACUGAUCGGGGGUGAGCAGUUACAUUUGGGACGCUAAACAGUUAGUCUUGGGCUUUGAACAUUUCAAAUUUCAACAUAUUAAGCGCGGUGGUAACAGGGUUGCUCACCUUUUAGCACGGGAAGGAUUUCUCCGGAAACGCGAUGUCUGCUGGAUUGAGGAUGGUCCGACGUUGAUUCAGGCGAAGUUGCUGAAAAAGGUGAGGUCAGAUUCAUUUCCUCUUAUUCGUUAAUACCUUGUUUUGUGCAGAGUUGGAUUAUGUAGUGAAAGAGCACUGUGGUUAAGCUGUUUCAACUGGUUCCUAUGGAUGAUGAUUGAAAAGUGAAGGGGAGCAUUGUAAUGUCCCUUCAACUGUUUGCUGUUACUUUUUCUUCGGUUUAUUAAUUGUUUUUCUUCGCUCCUUGUGUUUCCUAUGGAUGGUUUACUGAAACCAUGGGUUGUGUUUCUUCAUUUUUGCUUUUAAUAAAUAGCAAGCUGUUUUAUAUAAUAUAUAAAAAUAAAACAUCCAACAACUAGUUUAAACUUUUUCCCAAUGGUUUUUUUUUUCAAUAGGUUAUAAUUUUGUCUUCUUCUUUCUUUUCAUUCAAAUCCUAUUCUUAUAUUCUCUAUUUUUUCAUUAAAUCUCAAAUUCUUCUUGUCUCAAUAUUAUAUUUUAUAAUUUCUU
rnacentral:lncRNA from 1 species